rnacentral:rRNA from 1 species
UACGUAGGGUGCAAGCGUUGUCCGGAAUUAUUGGGCGUAAAGAGCGUGUAGGCGGCCCGAUUAGUCCGCUGUGAAAGUCCAGGGCUCAACCCUGGAAUGCCGGUGGAUACUGUUGGGCUAGAGUCCGGAAGGGGCGAGUGGAAUUCCUGGUGUAGCGGUGAAAUGCGCAGAUAUCAGGAGGAACACCAAUGGCGAAGGCAGCUCGCUGAAACGUAACUAACGCUGAGACGCGAAAGCGUAAAGAGCAAACAGG